UGCAACUGCAACAAUCUCUCUUGCUUAAGACAAUCGUGAGGUGCAACGUCUUCUUACUUUCUACUUUUUUCUUGAUCUGGAGCGUGAGUUGCCCUGACUUCCCCUCCGAGACUGCCUCUUAACUUAUCUUGGAUAUCUCUGAUGUCCAAAGAUCUUCAAUUUUGUGAGGUGUCCUUGUUGUUAUAUAUCUGAGAUUAUGUUAAAAAGAGCUCGGGCUAAUUCUUGUAUGUGAAAAAGGGCUCGAGGCUAUUCUAUCAGAAACUGUUUUUGUUGUAUUAUGUUUGUAAGUACUUUAAGAAGCCACUUUGCUUCUUAUAUUUGUACGGCUGGUUGAUAUUAUCAGCCUUUCCCCAGAAGACAACUCUUCUAUAUGUAUCAAGGAAAGUAGAUUAUCGAGGUAGGAAAAACAAGUCUGGUCCCAGAAGCAGGAGCCGACCUUUGAGUUCACCGUCACUGUCUUUGUUAUCCUCUUCUGGUGUUUGCAUAUUGAUCUCUUAGUUCUGCCAGUAUUAUAAGAAAGACCAACAUGUUUCUCAUUCUGAAUAUGUACAGCCAAUGUGCAGCUAGUGUUGUUAAUUUGCAUGUGUUAUGAAUAUGCAUGGGUUUUUUGGUCAAGAAUAUAGCGAAGUUUUGAGUGUUGACUUGUAAUGGGUUUGCAG
rnacentral:lncRNA from 1 species